rnacentral:lncRNA from 1 species
CAAAUCCUAUUCGUGACGUGACACUUCUGAAGAUUUCCUCCAGAGACCGGCCCAGGCCACAUGGCCACAAUGCUAAAUUCAGCAUUAUUUACAAAAAAAAACUGGAACCGAUAUGAAUGUCUUCCCAUGAGGGAACGGUUAGGUAAAUUGCCACGGACUAUACAACGACACUGGGCAGUCAUUAAACUUCGUAUUUCUAUGUGGUCAUCUUGAGCUGAAUUCAAGCAACUUUCAAGAUCAAAACAAUUGCAUUCUAUGGGAUGAGGGAAAACUGGUUUUCCAGGUAGGUGACCCACAUAGAAGUCUGCACUGCUGCUCUUUCUCAAGGACAGAAGAGAAACAGAUGAGGCCACUUUCAGCCCUUCCAGCAUCAUCUGUCCUGUCUGGGAAGUCAAUGUGUGCAUCAACACUCAGGUACUUCAUCAAAGAAGAUAUAUGUAUGGCAAAUAAGCACAUGGAAGAUGUUCGGCAUCCCUGGUCAUUGGGGAAAUGCACUUUAAAACCACAAUGAGCUGCCACCACAUACCUAGUAGAAUGAGGGAGAGGGGAUGACAAUACCAAAGACUUCAGAGGAGACAGAACAACUAGGACACUCAUGCAUUGACAUGGGGAGUAUGGAAAAGUACAGCUACUUUAGAUAACAGUUUGGCAGGUCUUAUAAAAUUAGAC